GUCGGCCACCAUACCACCUGUAGUUCAGACUAGGUAGUGCAAGCUAAGCAGGUUUGGGCCACGUUAGUACUUCGAUGGGAGACCAACAAGAAAAGCUGAGUUGCUCCUG
rnacentral:rRNA from 1 species